rnacentral:rRNA from 1 species
UACGUAGGUGACCAGCGUUGUCCGGAUUUACUGGGCGUAAAGAGCGCGCAGGCGGUCGUUCAAGUCGAGUGUGAAAGCCCCCGGCUCAACUGGGGAGGGUCACUUGAUACUGAUCGACUCGAAGGCAGGAGAGGGAAGCGGAAUUCCCGGUGUAGUGGUGAAAUGCGUAGAGAUCAGGAAGAACACCCGUGGCGCAAGCGGCCACCUGGCCAAGAGCUGACGCUGAGGCACGAGAGCGUGGGGAGCGAACCGG